AUUCUUCGCAGCCCUGUGGACUGCAGCCUGCCAGGCCUCUCUGUCCCUCCCUAUCUCCCAGAGUUGGCCCAGGUUCAUGUCCAAUGAAUCAGCAAUGCUAGUGAGAUUUGGUGGCAGCAGCAGGACAAAGGGGAUUUCUGAUGGCUUUGGAGACAGCAGGAGACAGGUGUGGCGCCCCGUGAACCCUUUGGGCUCACUGUCUUUCUGGCCAUUUCCAAGGAUCCUGGUUCCAUGUCGGGAACAGCCGGUGACCACUGCAGUUUCCCAUUUGUCUGGAAGAAGCCUGCAAUUCUCAUUCUUUGGAGUCUGCGGGUUCAGUCCUUUCCUCAGUCCCUGGUUCCAUGUUGGGAACUGGUCAUGGUGUCCACAGGACCUUUUCUGGGCCAGGAUGCAGUAACAGCUCUUGAUCUUCACCGAUAUAUUAAGGUACAUGUGUUUGCUUGUUUUGAAUCAAUGAGGGCUGUUGCUAACUGGGACCUCAGAGGUCAAAAGCUGCGAAAAUUGAUGGGUCUGGAUGGAGCAAGAACAGAGUUAUGACAAAAAGGAAUAUAAAUCCUAGCAGCACAAGACACUAUUACUGAGUUUAAGUAAUCCCUCCAAUGUAGACCUUAUUCCUAUGGGAUCCAUGGCAAAGUGUUUCCUGUGAGACUGAAUCCAUGUUCUUGCAAUGACAAGCAAUCUUACUGUCUAGCACUACUCUGGCUAAUGAAGUUUGGGCUUUUUGCUGGCAGGUUAUGGCUUAAACCUGCUCUUUUAUGUCCUUUACAAUCUGUCCUUGAUAUAGAAGAGAAAGAAUUACAACAAAAAUUCUCUAGUUUAACAGAGGUGCCCCCAAAUCUAUGGGUUUUUUCUCUCUCUUUUUCUUUUUUCUUUUUUGCAUUUUAAGCUUUACUUAUGAAACACUGACAUGCUCUCUUUUAUAUUAGCAUUUAAUACUUACGAGAAUUGGUCUGUUUACUGUUACCUGCCUUCAUAACUAAACCAUUUUUAUUGUUGUUUAGUUGCUAAGUUGUCUCUGAAUCUUGUGACACCAAGGACUGUAGUCCGCCAGGCUCCUCUGUCCAUAGGAAUUUCCCAGGCAAGAAUACUCAAUCUAUGGGCUAUUUCUAAUCCUGACUUUGGGAAAGCAAAAAGUGCAGAGCCGGUAAAAUUUCUGACAUAUGUGGUUAGACCUCUUUCUAAACUGCCUCAAUAUUCAUUAAAGCCUGAAUCCAGACAAGGCCUUAUACCAACAAUAGACAAUCUCACCACCAAGGGUUGAUCAUUUCCUGUACCAGCCCCUAUAACACUGGUCUGGCUGACUGGAAACCCUAAUGAGGACUUCCCUGGUGGUCUAGUGGUUAAGAAUCUGCCUGCCAGUGUGGAAGACACAGAUUUGAUCCUGGUCUGGGAAGAUCCCACGUGUCAUGGGGCAACUAAGCCUGUGGGCCACACCUGCUGAGCCCCCUCUCUCUAGAGCCUGUGAGCUGCAACAAGAGAAGCUACCACACCACAAGAGAGUGGCCACAGCUCCCCAUUGCCAGAGCCUGCCUACAGCAGUGAGGACCCAGCACAGGGGAAAAAAAUCGAAUGGUUGGGAAGCUAUUUACAAGAUAGUUACUCCCCACUUCCCAGUUGUUUCAAACACAAACAUUCUUUUGUCACUAAUUCCACCAGGCUCAAAAUGGUUCACUGCUGUAGCUCUUUGCUUGGCUUUUUUCCCCCCCCGCAUCCCUGUGGACCCCAACAGCCCACAUCUAUUUGCCUUUACUUGGAACAAUCAACAAUAUACUUGGACACUCAUGUGGCAAGGGUCCACACAGACCCCUUCUUAUCUCUCCCAAGUGCUCCACCAGGGUCUGAGCACCCUCCACUUCCCCAGGAAGUCGACUCUCUUAUAAUAUAUGGAUGGACUCUUGCUUUGCUCAGUGCUCCCCAAGAGGCGUCCAUAAAUGAUCCUAUUCAUUUGCUGCAACAGUUAGUUCAAAAGAAACAUGGAGUUUCUGAUGCAAAAUACCAACCAUCUCUAGACACUGUUUAUUACCUAGGUCAUAAUCGAAGUGCUGAAGGAAUCCAAUUGUCUCCCAAACAGAUUAAGUUAACCCAAGAAUUUCCUUGACCCACAACUAGGCAACAGCUUGGUGGAUUUCUAGUCCUGGCUGGCUACUUGCAGAUCCUCAUUUUCCUCUCUAUAAACUUACUAAGGGCUUCCUUUGUGGCCCCAGGCGUAAAGAACCCGCCUGCCAAUGUAGGAGAUGCAAGAGACGUGGGGUUUGAAUCAUGGGUCCGCAUGAUUUCCCUGGAGGAGGAAAUGGCAACGCACUCCAGUAUUCUUGUCUGGAGAAUUCUGUGGAUGGAGAAGCCUGUGGGCUACAGUCAAUGGCGUCGCGAAGAAUCAGGCACAACUGAGCAACUAACACUUUCAAACUUUCAUUGCCUUUUAUAGCAGCACACAAGUGGAUUCAGAGGGUAGUGCCUACCCCAACUAUAAGGCUGUAACUAAAACUGGGUGCUCCACAGGGUUAACAGAAAUUGGUGACUAACAAAUUCUUGAGCUGGUCUUACAGAACAGCAACUAAGGAAACACCUUGUUUAAAAAAAUAAACAAAUCUCCACUUGUAACUUGCCUUCACUGACCAAGCUUGCCUUUUUUUUUUUUUAAAUGCCUUAACCACCCCUAUAGAUAACACUACUGACUGAUGGGUCACUAUAGUAAUGGGGGCUUAAGCUGUUUUUCAGGAACUUGGAGCCAGCUCUUGUCCUGUCCGAGUCAGCUGAGACUGAUUGGGACCACCGACCCUAAAGCCGGUCCUGCACAAGGGUCCAACAGAUGCCCUUUUGACAUCAGAGGGGCAAAAACUCCAGUCUCAGAGUGUGCUGUGUGAGCAGUCGUGUGCGACUCUUUGUGACUGUACCCCUUCAGGCUCCUCUCUCCAUGGGAUUCUCCAGGCAAGAAUACUGGAGUGCAUUGCCAUUUCCUCCUCCAGGGGAUUUUCCCAACCCAGGGGUCAAACCCUUCUCUCCUGUGUCUCCUGCAUUGCAGGCAAAUUCUUUACUGCUGGGCCAUCGAGGAAGCCCUUCAGAUUGCACUAAAGCACUUCCAUUUUUUAACAUGCAUCUCAUGAAGAAUUAUGUAUUAAUAAUUAGCAUCUCAUGUAUUAAUAAUUCAGAGACAUCUGUGCAGAAUGCCAGUUACUUCACCUUUUCCCCUAGCUCCAAUCUCCUUUCCCCACGCUUAUGACCACCCUAACUCUUUCACCCACAGAUAGUCCAAGUUCCUCACCUAUGAGGAGCAGGAUUUGUGGAUUUGAGAUCUCAUUUGGCUGCUUUGUGAAUAAACAUUUUCUGUUGCAAACCUUAGUGUCUCGGCCUUUGGCUUGCUUCACUGUGGGCAAAUGAACCUGGUUCAGUAACAAAUUUGGUGAGCCAUCCUGGAGAUAAAGGUCCAGAUGGACUUCUUGCUGGUCAUUCAUUGGCCCCUUGCUGACACUGAGAAUCUG
ensembl:lncRNA